CCUACGGGGGACAGCAGUGGGGAAUAUUGGACAAUGGGGGAAACCCUGAUCCAGCGACGCCGCGUGAGUGAAGAAGUAUUUCGGUACGUAAAGCUCUAUCAGCAGGAAAGAAAAUGACGGUACCUGACUAAGAAGCCCCGGCUAACUACGUGCCAGCAGCCGCGGUAAUACGUAGGGGGCAAGCGUUAUCCGGAUUUACGGGGUGUAAAGGGAGCGUAGACGGCAGCGCAAGUCUGGAGUGAAAUGCCAGGGCUCAACCCCGGAACUGCUCUGGAAACUGUGAAGCUGGAGUGCAGGAGAGGUAAGCAGAAUUCCUGGUGUAGCGGUGAAAUGCGUAGAUAUCAGGAGGAACACCGGCGGCGAAGGCGGCUAACUGGACUGUAACUGACGUUGAGGCGCGAAGGCGUGGGGAGCAAACAGGAUUAGAUACCCCAGUAGUC
rnacentral:rRNA from 1 species